AGGAUUUUUUUUUAAAAUAUUGCAUUAAACAGAAAAAAAAGCAAAAAAUGAGAAGCAAUUAAUUACAAUUUAUAAAUUAUAAAUUAAUACCGGCCGUCCCUAGAGCAAGUGGCAAAGAAUUUGGUGGUUGGUACCUGAGACCCAAAUUCGUAUCAUAAUUGAUUCACAUGUCCAGUUAAGUUUAUUUCUAAAUAAAAUAAGUAAAGCAGAUAGUAUAAAAAAAAAUGAAUCCUGGUAAAGGGUGAAGCUAAAACCUAAAAAGAGGAUAAA
rnacentral:lncRNA from 1 species